rnacentral:misc_RNA from 1 species
GUUUUGGUUUAAUGUUUAAUCGAUUUCUUAAUCUUAAACUUUUUUUGUAUAUUUUAAGAUUAUGGCCUCUUGUGAAGAAUCUAAUGAAGAUGGCUUGAAACCAGUUUUAUCCUCUCUGCAUGAAUUGAUAUACAGCAUGGGGCGUUUAAAAUUUUCUUUAAGAUCUCUUGCUGCUAUCGAAAAGCAAUUAUCCCUAGUUUCAGAACAGGAAACUGAUUGCAUUAAAGAUAAUUCACCUUUACCAGACUCUAACAGUGUUCUUGAGAAAAUAAUACAUGAAAUUGUUUCUAAGAGACUGAGUGGAGAAGAAAAUACUGCCAAUGAUUCUGCUUGUAAAGUAACUGCACAAGAGCAGCAUAUUACUAAUGUUGAAGAAUUAGAAAUUGUGUAUGAAAAACUUCAAAAUGAAUUAAGAAGGAUACGACAGUAUCAUCUAAAUGAAUUUGGAAAGGUGCUGAAAGAAAGUGCAAUCUGAAAGCUGACAGACAGUAGUCUCUUCUCGACAGUUUAAACAAACCAAAUGGCAGGAGCACUUUUAUAAGAAAUUAAAGUAUUUUUGCAUUUAUUUUAUCAAUAUUCAUUUAAUGCUCAUUUUGCCUUUAUUUUUAUAUUUAUUUGAAUAUUAAAAUGUCAAUUAAUGUUUAAAAGUUCAAACAUUUUUUGUAUUUUGCAUUUGUCAUAAUUGUAUAGAAUUUUCAUUUAAAAAAUCAAAUGAUAAUUAUAUUGUAUUCAUUUUUGUAUCAUUCACAAAAAUUGACUUGGAAAUGCUGCUUUUUGAAACUGUUUGUGAACAGUUAUCUAUGGAGGCAUUGUUUGCUGUAUAAAAUAUAGUUUGAUCUUUUCUAAUGAUGCUUAUAUGUACUUUAGCUGAUUUCUUUCAAUUAACCACGAUUUCAGAUUUUGCUGGCCAGUAUCUGGUACAACUAAACUGCUUUAAAAUGUGAAUAUGUUUUAAAAAAUAUUAUAAUGCUUUUAAUCAGUUUACUUAAUUUUUUAAGGUAUUUGUAAAAUAUUUUGGUAAUUAUUAAGUGUUAAUAGAAAAGUAUAUAUAAAUAUUUAUACUAGUUGUUUCUUCACCUCAGCAGAAAAUAAUUCUGAGUGCCAUGACAAAUAGAAUGGAACUACCUUCAACCUGUUUUCAUUUCUUAGUUCACUCAGUAUGUACAUGCUUUAACAAUGGAUUGAACAGGCUGUAAUGUUUCUCUUCUGUAAUAGAGCCGGUAUCAUUAUUAUUUGUAGGAGUUCUAUGAUCUGCCAAAAUAAAACUGAAAAGUGCCCACAUACUUUUUAUGUAGAAAAUAUUCAGCUUUUUCCCCUUGCCUUAGUAAAUCCCAAAUCCAAAUGAUUAUUAACCUAAAUUUUGAUUAACAAGUUGUGGCUUUCAUCUUGAUAAGUUUGUUAAGAAAGGCUGUAUUGUAUUGAAAAAUCUUUUAAUUCAAACAGUUAAGAAAAAGAAAGUAAUUAAUGUCCUAAGAUAUGAUGAAUGCUCAUUUGUGGUUAUAUUUUGAAUUUUUCUGUAUUGAGAAUUUCUUAUUCUGUUGCAUUUUUCAAUAUCUUGAAUUCUGGCUAAUAUAUACAAGUUUAAAAUAUAACUUUAGAUGGAAAAUAUAGAUUCUAAAGAAAUUAAUAUGUGCAAUAGUAAAAGUUUUUUAAUAAUCACAUUUUUUUUUUUUGAAAUAGCAACAUAAAGAUAAAACAAAAUAGUGAAUAAACCACUGCAGAAAACUGAAUAAUUGAUAAAUAAGCUUAAUUUAUACAAAAUGUUAUCAAAGGUUCUUUAAAACCAAAGAAGGUUUUACAUUUAUCGUGACACCUCAGUCAGGUUUGUAUCCAAGAAUUGUGAAAUUGUAAGCAUACUCAUGUUCCUGUUAUGAAUGUAUUAAAUAGUAUGAAAAUUUUGCAUGGAAUUAAAAUUUUAUUGCUUAUAUGAUUUAAAAUUAUUAUCAUAUACUAGCUUUAGUAUCCAUUAUCUCUUUUCAGUUUUUCAAGGUUUGAUUGGUUACUUCUUUCAAUGUAUUUAAAUGCAUACAGUAUUUUGUAGGAAAUAUUUUAAGGAUGUUGAAGAGUGAUGCCAUUACUCUCUGAUGAUAAUUUUUAAAAUAAAAUCAUACUUCAAAAUUUAUUUAUUUUCUAUCAUUUUGCUGAAAAUGAAAAGUGAUAUAUUUGGAGACAGUUGGGGGUAGCUUGCUAAAUUGCUUAAUAUCGUUUAAAUUAUAACAAAAGAAAUUGAGUGAUUUUUUAUUCAUUAAAUGGUUAAUAAAAGAAAUUCACUAGUAUAAACUACAAUGAAAUGAGUGUAGUUUAUAUUUUAUAUCAAAAAAUCUUUUCUCUAUUUGAAAUGGAAAUAUGGUAUUUUAAUGGCAGUUUUAUCAUUGGCAAUAGUUUGGAAAAUUUUUAUCAUGCUAAAAUGCAUUAUAAAGAUUAUUUCUUUCAAUAGAUUAUUAUCCCUGUUUUAUUACCUUUCUCUUUCUUGCAGUAUAAUUUUUCUGUGUGUGUCUUUUUAAGUAUUUUUGGAAAAAUUUACAUGUAUUUUCUGGUUCGAUUAUUAAAAUCAGCUAGCUGCUUGAAUGACAUAUUAAGAUUUCUUUCGAAAGUUAAUUAUUGAAAAGAAUGCUACAAAUUUUAUGUUAUUUAUUAAAAGGCUAAACUGAAAUGUUUAGUUUCAUUUCAUUUAAAAAUGAGUUUGAAAUGUUAAACAGAUUAAAAGCACUUGUUUGUUGCUUUUCCGUUCUUUUAUAAACAUUUAGAGCGAUGAAUUUCCGCAUAUACAGUCACUCUGGCUAACUGUGUCACGUGGUAAUAUGGCAAAUUUACUACUGUCUCAGCAAUUAAAAGCAAUUAUAGGCAUAACUUGCAAUAUUGUAUGCUAGGAAGAGGAUGGCGAGAGCUUGAAUGAGUGAAGAGAUGUAGAAACUGAAGAUUUCUGGUCGGUGAGGGUGGAAUGAGAUGAUUGGUUCAGUCAUCUGUUGGCCAAUUGGCAAACCUAGAAAGGAAGUGCAUCUGCUUGCAAAUCAGGCAUUGGUCGGGAGAAGGGGCUUAAUUAUAAAAUUUGCUUUAAAAGUUAAAUUAGUAAUUUAUUUUACAUUAUUUGGUAGUAAAAGAAUCAUAAAGUAAAAUAACAGGUGGCCUAAACGACUAUUAAGAUAAUAAUCAAAUUAGGAUUACAGUAUUAAAAAUGAAAUUAACUUAAUUAAAAGAAUUAGCUCGUGCUGAAGGUAAAUUACACUAAUGACUCCUAGAUGGCGACACAGUUGCCAUGUAGACUUGGGAUAGUUAAAUCUUUUAUCCAUGGAUGGCGAUACAUAUGCAUGAAUUUUAGAGUGGGUUAAAAGUGAUAAAAAUUAAUUCAUGCAAGAAUUAAGAGAUAGUAGGGUAAAAUUGCAUAAAGAUCACAAUUACAACAUACUUACUAUGCAUUUAAGUGCAUUAGGACCACUCCGGGUCUUUUUUCUGUUGUCUCUAUCAAGAUAGUUGUAGUUCAGCUGAGGUAUAGAGCUGUGCAUUUCAAGCCGAUUGCAAAGAUUUUUUUUUUAAACAUGCUUUUGAAUUGCUUCGUGUAGCUAAUAUAAAGUGUUCCAUUUUUAUGUUUCAUUUAUUUUGUAUGGGUAUUUAUGAGGGCAUUAUGCAUUUUAUAUAUCUUUUUAAUUUAAAAUUUACAAUAAUUUGCUGCUAUACUUCUCAAUUUUUUUUAUUUGACAGCGACCGAAUUUAUAAGGCUUCUGAACACUGGUAUUUCAGUGCAAGUUGAAAUCCUAAUGAAUAGACUGGCUGCAUGUGUAUUUUUAUGGUUUUCUUUGUGUGUAAGUUGAAUAUGAGUAUCUCCAGAAAGGUAUCCCUUCCAUUCAGGCAGAUAUAUUUUUAGGCAGAUAUUUUCUAUUUCAGCACCUAAGUGAAAGCAUCAGUAUUAAAAUUCAAGAAUGUACCACCUUUAUCUCAUUUUAAAUAUGAAAAAUAUUAAAAUUUUUGCCUCUAGAAACUUUUUAAAGUUGAAAGUUGCCAAUUAUAACUUUUUAUAAUUAAUUCGAAAUUUUUUGUAGCUAAUUUAGCAUUCUUCAUUCUUCACAUGAGGUAGGUACCUCACUAACCUUACCUCUGUCCUUGCUGUGAUAUUAGGAUUAUCAUAAGCUAUUUAACUAUUGCAGGCUUGUUUACUGGAAUGAAAUGAUUUAUCCCACAUAGCACAAAAACAUCCUUGGGAUAUCCCGAGGAUGUUGCUCGCGGGAUAUGGGCACAUCCUCAGGACAUCCCGGGAUAUCCCACUAACCUCCUAAACACAUCCCAUUAUAUCCUAAAAACAUUCUACCUAUGUCCCAUUGACAGUGUAUGCAAUGUUAUUAGGAUUUAAAGUCCUACUUACUACAUCCUAAGGACAUCCCAUAAUACCCCAGUUUCCUCCUAAACUCAUCAUCCCGAGUGCUUAAUGUCACAUCCCAGUAUAUCCUUAGG